rnacentral:rRNA from 1 species
ACUCUGCGGCUGGAUCACCUCCUUAAUCUGAAUUCGUCGACAAGCUUCUCGAGCCUAGGCUAGCUCUAGACCACACGUGUGGGGGCCCGAGCUCGCGGCCGCUGUAUUCUAUAGUGUCACCUAAAUGGCCGCACAAUUCACUGGCCGUCGUUUUACAACGUCGUGACUGGGAAAACCCUGGCGUUACCCAACUUAAUCGCCUUGCAGCACAUCCCCCUUUCGCCAGCUGGCGUAAUAGCGAAGAGGCCCGCACCGAUCGCCCUUCCCAACAGUUGCGCAGCCUGAAUGGCGAAUGGAAAUUGUAAGCGUUAAUAUUUUGUUAAAAUUCGCGUUAAAUUUUUGUUAAAUCAGCUCAUUUUUUAACCAAUAGGCCGAAAUCGGCAAAAUCCCUUAUAAAUCAAAAGAAUAGACCGAGAUAGGGUUGAGUGUUGUUCCAGUUUGGAACAAG